UUAACUGAAAAUCCUGAACAAGAGCCUCGUUCAGAAGAUUACAAUGUAAUUAUUUGCUUAGUUUCGUGCACUAAUCCAAAUAUUUUUAUGGUGUGAGUUGGUUAAAGCUUUGAAUGAUUUUAGAGUAUAUCAGCGUUAGUCCACUUCAUUUGAAUGUUAAGUGUUGCUAACAGUUGAUUGCCAUGUUAAUUUGAUAUCAAUCAUAUAAUGUUUAACUAGUUGUGUUUCCUUGAAUUCCUUCUUAUACCGUGCGGAUUCUUCUACUUUCUAUAUGUUCUGAAUCUUGAUUCUGCAUACUACUAUACGGAUAUUUGAUUACACCAACAUCGUUAAUAGUUGAUCAAACCCCAAAAUAUGUAUUAACUUAACCAAUAACCGACUUUUAUCGGUUCAGGUUUAGCACAUUUAGAAACCGAUAACUGAUAAGGCAAAACGAUAAAUGCAGAUACUGAACCUAACCACCCGAUAAGCACUCCUACUUAUUAAUUGUGGCUAUCUAUGUCAGUUGGUAAGCUUAAUAGAAGCGAAAGGUAAUGUGAUUCUACUUUUGCACAACAAAUGUGAUUAUUCCACUAUAUUCAUGAAGGAUAUUCAGAGGAGAUGGAUGAAUGGUUUCAACAGAACACCCCCUUCUUGUUCUUCUUACAGUUGUUGCAUGUUAAUUUGACGAUGGGGAAACAGCAGUUCUGUCCAGAUAGUUAACCUCAUCUUUUGUAGUCUUGUUUAUUUUCUACAGGUUCUUAUUGGCGAAUGUUGCUCUGAUGUCUCCAAAGCUCAAGAAGCAGUGUCGUCGAACUUUAACUACUGAUGUACUUAGCAACCUUCCUGAGAAUGUAAUUGAUGCUAUUCUUAUGUGUUUGCCUUUUCAAGAUACUGUGAGGACAAGCAUCUUAUCGAAGAAAUGGAGAUAUAUCUGGUGCAGGCUUCCGAAGUUGACGCUUGAUGAAACACUUUGGAAAUCUCAAAAGGAUUUGAGAUCCCUUAACAUUUACUUUACAAAGAUUAUCUUCAAUAUUUUCACCUUUCAUUCAGGACCUAUUACAACGUUUACCCUCUGCAUUCCUCAUUUAGGAAUGUGUAAUAAGAUUGACAACUUGAUAUAUUUCCUUUUUAGGAAUGGCGUUCAGCAUCUUUUUCUUAGACUUCCGACCAAGGGUAAACCAUACAAAUUGCCUUCUUCAUUUUUCACAUGUUUGCAUUUGAGGCAUCUGACUCUCGAAGGUUGUUUAAUACUUCCUCCACCCUCCUUCAAAGGUUUUGAUAAGUUAACUAGCCUGGAAUUACGUGGCGUAAAAAUUUCUUCUGAGUUGCUUGAAAGUUUAAUCUCUGGAUGCCCGCUGCUUGAUCAUUUGGCGCUGAAAAUCUCAUAUACUUUAAGAAGUGUCAUUGAAAUUAAUGCUCCCAACCUGAAAUCCUUUGACUUUGACGGCAAUAUAAGAUCUAUUUGCUUAAAAAGUAUUCCCCUGCUGGAAAAAUUAUCACUUGCGCAUUGGGGAUGGUAUGAUGGGGCAAGUUAAUUUUAUAUCAUCAAUUUCUUUGAGUCUUUUUCUGCUCUCGAGCAUCUCCACUUGAGUAACAUAAUUACUCUCAAGUUCGUGGCUGCAGUAGCAGGUGAAGUACCGACUAGGCUUCCAUUUCAGCUUAACCGGGUGAAACGUCUGUACCUCUUUGGUCAUUGUCUGUGUGAAUUAUGUGAGGUCUCCUAUGCUCUUUGCUUGAUGAGAAGCAUCCCGUAUUUACAAUAUUUGGAAAUCGAGGUGGAUAAUGACGUAUUUGUUGCUCCAGAAUCUCAUGAAGUUGAAGGUUUUUCAGAUGUGACAUUCAAUCACCUCAUGAAAAUUAAGCUAGAAGGCGUUAUAGGCAAAAAUCCUCAGAUGCAGCUUAUCAAGCUUCUCUUAGCCAAGUCUCCAGUGCUAGUCAGAGUGAAAAUUGAGUCCUGGCUAUAUGUAAAUUCUGCAAGUUACUCAUCAUCAGAGAAAAUGAAGAAUCUGCAAGAGUCAAAAUUACUCGCUGAGAUAUCAAAAUUUCAGCGUGCAUCACCUAAAGCACAAGUUAUUGUCAAAAGUUUACUAGUAUAAGAUUACAGUCAUGUUUGAUCUUCACGAAUCUUUAAUUAAACCAUGAACUUUGGCUAAAUUGUUUUGGUUGUUGAAGUGAAUAGAUAGAAAAGAAUGUUGAUGUUGUAGUAUAUAUCGCGGUGUUUUGCCUUGCCA